rnacentral:rRNA from 1 species
UAACGCGAAGAACCUUACCUGGGUUUGACAUACGCCGGAAGCCUCUAGAGAUAGAGGUCUCUUUGAUACUGGUGUACAGGUGGUGCAUGGCUGUCGUCAGCUCGUGUCGUGAGAUGUUGGGUUAAGUCCCGCAACGAGCGCAACCCUCGUUCCAUGUUGCCAGCAGCGCCUUCGGGUGGCUGGGGACUCAUGGGAGACUGCCGGGGUCAACUCGGAGGAAGGUGGGGAUGACGUCAAGUCAUCAUGCCCCUUAUGUCCAGGGCUUCACGCAUGCUACAAUGGCCGGUACAAAGGGCUGCGAUCCCGUGAGGGGGAGCGAAUCCCAAAAAGCCGGUCUCAGUUCGGAUUGGGGUCUGCAACUCGACCCCAUGAAGUCGGAGUCGCUAGUAAUCGCAGAUCAGCAACGCUGCGGUGAAUGCGUUCCCGGGUCUUGUACACACCGA